rnacentral:rRNA from 1 species
AACCUUACCUACCCUUGACAUGGUCGGAAUCCUGAAGAGAUUCGGGAGUGCUCGAAAGAGAACCGGCGCACAGGUGCUGCAUGGCUGUCGUCAGCUCGUGUCGUGAGAUGUUGGGUUAAGUCCCGCAACGAGCGCAACCCUUGUCCUUAGUUGCUACGCAAGAGCACUCUAAGGAGACUGCCGGUGACAAACCGGAGGAAGGUGGGGAUGACGUCAAGUCCUCAUGGCCCUUAUGGGUAGGGCUUCACACGUCAUACAAUGGUCGGAACAGAGGGUUGCCAACCCGCGAGGGGGAGCUAAUCCCAGAAAACCCUCUAGUCCGGAUUGCACUCUGCAACUCGAGUGCAUGAAGCUGGAAUCGCUAGUAAUCGCGGAUCAGCA